GACGAACGCUGGCGGCGUGCUUAACACAUGCAAGUCGAACGGAAAGACCCUGCUUUUGUGGGGUGCUCGAGUGGCGAACGGGUGAGUAACACGUGUGUAACAUGCCCUUGUCUUUGGGAUAACUUCAGGAAACUGGGGCUAAUACCGGAUAGGAUCUCCUGCUGCAUGGUGGGGGUUGGAAAGUUUCGGCGGUUGUGGCUGGACUCGCGGCUUAUCCGCUAGUUUGUGGGGUAGUGGCUUACCAAGGCUUUGACGGGUAGCCGGCCUGAGAGGGUGACCAGCCACAUUGGGACUGAGAUACGGACCAGAAUGCAACGGGAGGCAGCAGUGGGGAACAUUGCACAAUGAGCGGAAGCCUGAUGCAGCAACGCCGGGAGCGGGAAGACGGGCUUCGGGUGGUAAACAGCUUUCGACUGAGACGAAGAGUGAGUGACGGUAAUGGGUAAAGAAGCAACGGCUAACUACGUG
rnacentral:rRNA from 1 species